UACAGAGGAUGCAAGCGUUAUCCGGAAUGAUUGGGCGUAAAGCGUCCGCAGGUGGUUUUAUAAGUCUGCUGUUAAAGCGUUAGGCUCAACCUAAUAAGGGCAGUGGAAACUAUAAGACUAGAGUAUGUUAGGGGUAGAGGGAAUUCCCAGUGUAGCGGUGAAAUGCGUAGAGAUUGGGAAGAACACCGGUGGCGAAAGCGCUCUGCUAGGACAAUACUGACACUGAGGGACGAAAGCUAGGGGAGCGAAUGGG
rnacentral:rRNA from 1 species